AGAUUGUCCAGCAUCGUUAAGAGAACUGCUAGGAUAUUCCAUGUAAUCGACAAUCCUGGAUUACAUAAUAGACUUCAGACCCUGAUGAUUAUCAAAUUCAGGGUACAACAUUUCGUCCUCUUCCACAACGCGAGUGGAAGACAUCAUCCAUUAACAUCGGAAGUGCCUUGAAGAUAUCCUGUGUGAUCCAGAUGAAGACUCAUUAUCCUUAACCGUACCUACC